CCCAUCCACCGUUGAUCAGUAGCCACCCACGAUCAACCCUGUUACCGGAUGCACUCACCGGACCCGUUUCCAUUUCUUUAAAGAAUAUUCUCCUAUAAUGUUUAAUUAUCCCGCACUAAUUGGUCGGUUCUGAACAGAUCGUAUAAAUCCCUUGGUUCCCAUCCCAUCCGCGACGGCAAUCUCUCCGUUGUAUUCGGAUCGAGCGCUAGCUACCGGCGACUCGAAGCGGAGGUAUGGCACGAUCCAUUGGGGAUCGAGCAACCACGCCGGCGGCAACAUCCAUCGGUGAUUUGCUGGGAUGCGGCGGCAUUCAUCUGCAGCAACACGGCGUUCCUAGGCGGUGCCGGCCCUUGUGGCGACGGUAUCACGGCAUCAAUCCAUCGGCUCUUCCUAUCUACGCGGAGGCGGCGGUGGCUUCACCUUGGCUGACCGAUCGAAGCUAGCACCGGUGACCUUAACAAGGACGCCAUCAAUAUUUCGGCAAGCCACUGUGGUCAUGCGGCUGGCAUCGAUCAAGCCCGUGCAACGAUCAAGGCAAGCCCUUUCUUCCUUCUUCCAGUUUUGUUUGAUUAAUUUUUUCCUAUAGAACGAUAAUACAUACUCUUCCUUUUCCUUUUUCUAUUGGGUAUAUCUCUGUUAUUGUUUGCAGACGAGGAUGCAGACAUGAAGUAUGACGUUGAUAGAAUGAUUAAGCCUCUGAUGAAUGCAUUUGUUUGGUGCAUGCACAUGCGAGACACAUCUAUCGUGGGCAUAGAUGGUGCUGACAACAGGACACUCCAGCAUGUACGGUCGUCUGGCGACGGUGCUGAGUCCGUGAUUCCGUUGAUCCAGAGGAUAAGGAGCUCGUCGGUGCCAGAGCUCAAAGAGGUGCGAGGAGACCAGGGCGAGGCCAGGCCAUUGGUGCUGGGUUUGAGCUUAAGCUCAAGCUCAUCGUGGUUGGGGGAAUGAAAGAGAGCCCCACGUCUAUUUUUGAUUUUUUUUUUGGUGAUUGAACUUUCACGUGGAUGACACGUCAAUGAAAACUGUCCUUGAAAAA